AGGGAUAUAGCUCAGUGGUACAGUGUGUGUCUGGGAAGCACAUGAGUUCAGUCCCUGGUACCCCCA
rnacentral:tRNA from 1 species